GGAAACAGUGACAGUAUAAUGACUUGAUUUCUUCUCCCCUAUGAGAAUGAAGUUUCACAUGAGUAUUAUACAGUCACCAUAGCUUGGGACAUUAUCAUAUGACUGCUGGGUGAUGCAGGGAUGGAUAAUUUCAUGAGCUGUCUCGCCUAAGUUUAUUCAUUUUCCUAGUCACUGGAAUGAAAAGACUUGAUGGGACUCCUGCUGAGAUACUUCCAGAGGCAACCAUCCUUAUAAUGGAUUCUUUCCAUCAGAAAAUUAGUUGAAUUAUAGAUAGCAUCACCAACUCAAUGGACAUGAAUUUGAGCAAACUCUGGGAGGUAGUGGAGGACAGAGGAGCCUGGCGUGUUGCAGUCCAUGGGGUUAAGAAGAGUCAGACACUAUUUAGUGACUAAACAACAACAACAAUUCUGUAAGGUAAGUAUAAUUUUCAUUUUACAGAUAAAGAAAUUGAGAUUCAUAAAACUUGGGAAAUGUGCUCAGAUUUCAUACAGAGAGCAAAGCUGUGAGUGGAAGUCAGGCUGUUUGAAUCUAAACUCAGGAUACUGUUUGAGAAGGUAAGAAAGUGUUUCAGUGUUUACUGGUGCAGUCAGUC
ensembl:lncRNA